rnacentral:lncRNA from 1 species
AGGAGAGCUCUGAUAUGAAAAGAAUAAGGACAAAUGUGGGAAAAGGCCUCUCAGAACCUAGGGCAUGCUUUGAUUGAUGAAAAGGUACUCAAAAUAACAAAAUAGUCUUUUUAUGGGUAACUUUGGAAAACCAUUUAAAAAAGAAAAUAAUAAUACACAAAAUAAUACUAAUGUAACAGAGUCAGCAGGCUGUUGCAACACUUGCCGUAGUUGCAUCAAUAGCUGUACAUUGUCAUUCUGGAAAGGGAGACUUUCUGAGUUCAACUUAAACUUACUUUAGUGAUCGUGCCUGAGAGCCCCACACAGUUACCUGAGAGGAUAUGUAGGAUUCCAAAAGGAGUCAGCCUUCAAGUCUUGAGUUAAAUGUUCAAACAUCUUGUGGAAGGAAAUUGAUGAAUAGAAUUAAAAGGAUGUAGGAAUUUGGGGGGUGGGAGGAUGAUAAGAGGAUCUAAGAAUGAUGGAAAAAAGAAGACAAGAAGUAAAAAGUAAACGGCAUCUGUAUAUACAUAUGGUCGAAAUGGGAGUUAGAUUAGAAAUUACUCAGGCUAAUUAGUGCUCAGAGAGAAUGCCUUUGUCACUGGCUUGAUCCAAGUGCUUUGUUAUAUCCUCAAACAAUGGGGGACAGGCUAUGCUGCCUUAGGGUAUGAGUAAUGGUGUGUGCCAUCUGUGGCUGCUCUCAGGCACCUGAACCCAGAAGGACCCACCCUCUGUAGGAACCAGAACACCCUGGAUAUGGAGUGUGUGCCGUCUCCCUGCUGACACGUGAGGGCCCUUGCAAGAGUAAGGAGACUGAUCUUGGAAUAAGGAAGAAGACUGUUAUCAGGUGACCUGAAAUCACUGUCUGAAGAAGGUUCUCUAAGCUUGUCUUUCCUUUUCUCUUCUUCUCUUCCUUCCUUUCUAAUAGAUGUGGUGCUGCAGGCCUCUGAAGAAGGACAAAGAGGAAGAACGCAGAAUGGAACUGCCUGCGAGAGGGGAAAGAGCGUGAGGAAAGCCACCACAGAUGACGAGUACGGAGGAGGGGGACGAGGAGGAAGAAGCUGCAGCAACAAUAGGAUUCAGAAAAAAAGGAGUCCUCGGAAACUAAUACACCUGGCAAGAAGAAAGAAAAGGGAGAAAGUGGCAUGGGCGAUAUCCACAAGAGAAAAGUAAAGACCAAGAGAGAAGAAAACUAACCAAGUCAGCUUCCUUUACAUUUUGCAGCUUUUAUGUACAAAUUAUCUUCAAUGUCUAUCAGAGGAAAAACUAACCAUGGAAUCUUAUUCCUUGGAAGGAAGGAAGGUGGGUAGGAAGGAAAGGGGGCGGUGGGGGGGGGGGG